CAUCACUCUUUCCAUCUUCGUCAUUCACUUUAUUUCUCUCUCACUCCUUCAAAAGGUUGAACCAGAGGAGCUGAUUGACGAUUAUUGGCCUUUCGAAUCAAGAAAAUCCACUGUGAAAAACAUGGGGGAAGCGUCGAAAGAUGUCAAUACCUACAUGAUGGGAGUUUCGGGCAUGGGUGGAGUGGGGAAGAAUACAUUUGUGAAGGAAGUUGGUAGGAAAGCCAUGAAGAUCUCUUAUUUGAGAGGUGGUUUUCGCAGAGGGAUGAUGAUUAUCUCUCAAAUCUUCUUCUGUUAGAUAACACCAUACGUGUGUUAGCAUCCCGACUCACCACUUAUCUGUGUAGAAGAAGACCCGGGCAUGUUCAACCCCGUAACUUCUCAUCGCACGAUGUCAAAGAUGAACUCCCUCUUAUUGAGCAAGAAGGGAUAUAUUCUGAAAUAAUGUGCGGGGGUUUUUGAUUGCUAGGAUUGCAACUUAUUUUGGUUAUCCACGUUUUGGUUUACCUUUCAUGGUUAUGAGAAUUGUUUUUCUACUAGCUUAUGUUAUUGAAAGUUGCUGCCUUUGAAGGGUUCUUAACUUAAUCUUAUGAUUUGCUAAAAUUAGGAGAUGAUUGGAAUAUGUGACACGCUGUGUCACUUUUGAAAUCCAAUUAUAAACAAACCGAAGCAUAUAUUAGCCCGUUAUGCAAUAGAUGGUAAAGAUUUGUUCUUUCUUCUUUAAUGACAUUAUUGUUAAGAUUGGAGAUUGUUUAUGGACUGCAUCUGAUAUUUUAAUUUUGGCUUGG